AAUAGAUACCCUGGUAGUCCACGCCGUAAACGUUGGGCGCUAGAUGUGGGGGCCAUUCCACGGUUUCCGCGUCGUAGCUAACGCAUUAAGCGCCCCGCCUGGGGAGUACGGCCGCAAGGCUAAAACUCAAAGGAAUUGACGGGGGCCCGCACAAGCGGCGGAGCAUGCGGAUUAAUUCGAUGCAACGCGAAGAACCUUACCAAGGCUUGACAUAUACGAGAACACUGCAGAAAUGUAGGACUCUUUGGACACUCGUAUACAGGUGGUGCAUGGUUGUCGUCAGCUCGUGUCGUGAGAUGUUGGGUUAAGUCCCGCAACGAGCGCAACCCUCGUCGCAUGUUGCCAGCACGUAAAGGUGGGAACUCAUGUGAGACUGCCGGGGUCAACUCGGAGGAAGGUGGGGAUGACGUCAAAUCAUCAUGCCCCUUAUGUCUUGGGCUUCACGCAUGCUACAAUGGCCGGUACAAAGGGCUGCAAUACCGUAAGGUGGAGCGAAUCCCAAAAAGCCGGUCUCAGUUCGGA
rnacentral:rRNA from 1 species